rnacentral:rRNA from 1 species
UACGUAGGGUGCAAGCGUUGUCCGGAAUUAUUGGGCGUAAAGGGCUCGUAGGCGGUUUGUCACGUCGGGAGUGAAAACUCGGGGCUCAACCCCGAGCCUGCUUCCGAUACGGGCAGACUAGAGGUAUGCAGGGGAGAAUGGAAUUCCUGGUGUAGCGGUGAAAUGCGCAGAUAUCAGGAGGAACACCGAUGGCGAAGGCAGGUCUCUGGGCAUUAACUGACGCUGAGGAGCGAAAGCAUGGGGAGCGAACAGG